rnacentral:tRNA from 1 species
GGCCUUCUGGCGGGGUACACGUCCUUCUUCGGACGGAGGAUCAAGCCGUUUUUCGCCGGGUUCAUCUUCCGGAGGGCCA